AUCUUACCCUCUUAUGGCAUAAUAGAAUAUUUUUAGGACGUAAUGAAAGUCCUAUUAGCUUUAGGAUUGUGAACACUUUUAUGCCAUAAUAGAACACUUGUAAGGGUUAAUAAAACACUCUUAAUAGAUUUACGGUUGUGAACAUUCUUUUGUCAUAGUAGAACUCUUAGGCCCCGUUUGGUUGGGGGGAUAAGCGGGGAUAACGAAAGUUAUCCCCGCUAUUCCGCCAAACGAAAUGAAAACUGGCCGGGAUAUUUUAUCCCGGUCAAACCUUGCUAUUCCCGGUUAUCCCGGGAUAGCAAGGAAUUUGCUAUUCCACCAUUUUGGUGGAAUAGCGCUAUUCCAAUGCUUAAUUUCAAACUUAAUUAAAAUUAUAAAUUAAAUUAAAACUAAAGUAUAUAUAAAUAUAAUAUAUUAUAUAUUAUAAUACAUUAUUUUUAUUAUAAAAUUAUUAAUUAUACUAUAUUAAUACAUAUUAUUUAUAUUUAAAUAUUAUAAUAAAAUUUAUAAUAAAUUAUAUUUAAGUAUUAUAAUAAAUUCUUUUUAUUAAAUUUAAGUUUAAGUAGAAUUUUUAAAAAAAUCUAUAAAUUUAUUAUAAUAAAUUAUUUUUAUUAAUUGUUCCCACCCCUAUUCUUAUUUUAAAAAUUUAAAAAUUAAAAUUUUAAAUUUUUAAAAUUUAUAAUUUAUAAUCUCAAAAUUAAAGUUUAUAAUUUUAAAUUAUAAAUUAUAAAUUAUAAAUUUUAAUUUUGAUAUUUUAAUUUUGAAAUUUAAAAUUUGAUAUUUUAUAUUUAUUAAAUUUAAAUUUAAUCUUAAAUUUAAAGUUUGAAAUUUAAAAAUUUAAAUUUCAAUAUAAUAAGAGGAUAAUAUGAUUAUUUUUUAUUUAUAAAAAUUCACUAUCUUCCUUAUUCUAUCGUACCUAACCAAACGCUAUUUUUUUUAAUCCCAAGAAUAGGCCAAUUUUCAUCCAAACGCAAAAUUGAUUUAAUUCCCGCUUAUACCUCAAUUUAUAUCUAUCCCUGGAAUAGCCACUUUUUGCUUAUCCCCGAACCAAACGAUACCUUAGAGCUUAAUAAGACACUUUUAUCAGGUUUACAGUUGCGAACAUGUAUGCAUUAUAAUCUUACCCUCUUAUGCCUUAAUAGAACAUUCUUAAAGCUUAAUAGAACACUCCCAUUAGUUUUAGGGUUGUGAA
rnacentral:lncRNA from 1 species